GUGCCGCGAGUGAUUUCAUAAUUUAUAGCGACUGACCUUUGUAAAUAUUUGUGUAGACUAUUGAUUUUAUUUCUGCAUGAUUUGUAUCUGUACUUGUGUUUUUAAUUAUUACGAAGGACCAAAAAUAGAGAUUGAAUACACAAUUAUAAAGUGUCAUAUUGAGGGGAAAAGGCACACUGUUCAUUGUAUCUAGUUUACACACAUC
rnacentral:lncRNA from 1 species